UUUUAAUGUAUUUGAAGCUGCCAAUGAAUGCCAUCAAACCAUAUUGAUAAUGACAAUCCAUAACUGAAAAAUGUCCCAACAGCCAAUGUUUUCUGAUGAUUGAUCCUUAGGCUGCCCAUUGCAUUGUUGUUUUACUUUUACCCUUAAUCUGGCUCAUCAUUGCCUAUUAUGAAAGUAUAACUGAAGGCUUUUGGUUGAGUAUUUGUCUAUCUGAAAUUCUAAUCAUUCAUGCUUUUCACAUGCAACUCUUGAAUGCUUGCUACCAUAUGACUAUCCUGAUUGUAACGUUUGCUGUAUGUGUAACUCCUUUUUAUCUUGAAUUUCAAUGAUGAUUCGAAUAGUAACUACUGGCAAAUGGUGUUUGUUUUCUGACUUUUGCUGUUUUACAUACUCUGAUUAUUCUUUCAUUUUACAUUAUGCUCAAUGAUUACUAAAUCAUUUUGCCACUCAUUACUUCAUUUAACAUGACCAGGAUUGCUGCCUAACCUUGUUGUUUUGGAAUCUUUUUCUGAACAUUCCCUACUGAAAUGCCUUUUAUGCUUAGUGGAAUACAUAACUGAAAAGGAAUAUGCCAACUGGUGAUGACUUCUGGUUUGCAUUUCCUCUUUGAAUUAAUCAUAUGACUGGUUUAUAAUAUGCUUCUGUUUGUUUUUGCAGUGGAUGAUUCUAUUUGGUUUUAGACUCAUUGACUUCUCCAUUUGGUUCACCANUCACCAUCAUCUCUUCCCUCUUUCAUUAUUUUACAUCAUCAUUAAUUGUUGGUACCAAAGAGCAACACAAGCUGCAGAUGCGAGAUCCCAGUGUCCAGGUGAGAUGCUAUAAUAAGGUUCCAAUUGUAGUCGAGUUUUCUACACAUAUGCAAGAGCAGUGAGAUUCUUUUCUCACUUAGCCUUUUGUUACGGUUGCUCAUCAAUUUAAUCAGGGGUAACUUUUUCACAACUUUCUUUUCCUUUUGCAUGAUUAGCUAUCUGCACCAACACAACUUUUUCUUGACACUCAGGGUGCCGAAUGAGAAGCUGCUCCAUGGCCAAAAGCUUUAAACUUAUUCCCUUGAAAAUAUCCAUGUCAUCUGCACCAAGCAACAUUAUCUUCCCCUGACCAGAGAACUGUUUAACAAGCUCUCCAACUUUUUCUUCAGUCCUUGGCAUGCUGCACCAAGCAACAUUAUCUUCCCCUGACCAGAGAACUGUUUAACAAGCUCUCCAACUUUUGUUUCAGUCCUUGGCAUGCUCAUUUAUUGAAUUCAUGAUUCUAACAGUAAAUUUUAGUAUAUCAAUUACACUAUGGUGAAUUCAUUAGGAAAUCUCCUGAUUUAAUGCAUGUAUAUUUUAUACAAUGCAACCUUUUAUUCCAAAUUCGUGCCCCUGUUUGUAUGAUAGAUAGUGUAGGAUCCUGAGUAACUUUAUGUCCAGGUUAUGGUCUUUGAUAGCAUUAACCAAACUAUACCUUAAAUCUUAAUUCGAGUGUUCAUAGUGAUAUGAACUUAUUUUCUAUCGGCUUGCCAACUUUGAUUAUUGCUGAAAGAUGUCAAAAUCCUAUUCUAAAUGAGAGGAAAGUUGGGUGUUGCAUGUAAAUUAAUUUAGAAGAUAGCUG
rnacentral:lncRNA from 1 species